UUGAGCAGACAACAGUAUGAUCAAUUGAUGAUCUUAUUACAAUAGACCCAGUUAGGGGACUCCACUGCUCAGACUCCUCCUCCCAUGUAUGCUGCUAACUUUGCUGGUACUAUGCUAAUUGAGAGCCCUAUUUCUGAUUCCAAACUCUGCAUGCUUACCCAUAUUAAUUCUGUCACCUGGAUCAUAGAUUCAGGUGCAUCUAAUCAUAUGACACAUGANN
rnacentral:lncRNA from 1 species